rnacentral:tRNA from 1 species
GGUCCCGUGGUCCAAUGGAUAUGACGAUGGCCUCCGAAGCCGUAGAUACAGGUUCGAUUCCUGUCGGGACCACCA